rnacentral:lncRNA from 1 species
AGAAUAUUGUGCAACAUGGUUAUGGGUACUACAGUGGAUGUGAGUGUGUAGACCUUGUACAAUAGAGCUUAUAGGCUAAUGAGAAGACAGGAAGAAACAACAGGAACACAUAUAGCUGGAAUGCAGAUGGGAUCUGUGCUACUUACGCUAGCCAUGGGAUGAUUAGAACAAGAUAAGAGACAUGAGGAAGACUUCUUCAAGGAGGUGCUCAAGCCAUGUUUUGGAAAAGAGAACUCAAGGUCUGGCAGGGAGAAAGGAGCAAGGUCCUCUUCUCCCUGAAGGCUGUCACAGUUCCUGUGCAGAGAGAGAGGGCACUGCAGCACCCAGGCGCUGACUGCCUUUUGUCAGUCUCAUUUGCAGGCCCCCAGCUGGAGAACCCAGGAGGAAGAGGAAAAAAGUUUUUUCCUCCUCUACACUCCCCAUGCAUGACUAAAGAGUAGGAGGAGUCAGCAAGGCAGACAUAUAUAGUACCCAGGAGGUGGACAAACAACUGCCUUGGUGGAAACUCUGUCCUUUCUGGACUUAUCCUGGUGCCACUGAGACUGUGCAGCAAGCCAUGUAUCUGGCUCCCCUCCCACCUUCUCACCUUGGAACACCACCAGCUGUAGGCAUCUACAUGCAGCAGGAAGCAUCACUGAGUCCCACACUUACAGGGAAAGCAUCACCCGAAAGUGAGAAUGCCUAGAGGCAGGAAUCAUGGAGGCUUCCUUAACCGUCUGUCUGCAACAGCAGGUUGCUCAUCACUGGUGCAUUGGAAAGAACACUGGGCUAAUGCCUUCGGGCAAGCCACUUCACCACCCUGGCUCCAGUCUCCUCAUAUGCAAGAAGGGCUUAAAAUUGUGAUGGACACCAGCCAUCAGGCCUCCCAGAUAGAGUCAAGGAAUGGAAACUUACCCAGUCACCACAUCUGGGAAACACCAGACCCCUUGCCCAUCAUGAUUGCCUAACUGCUGCCUGUGGAUCAGCUCUUCUUCCUUAUCCCCUCCCUCAUUCCUGUUUUCCCACACUUAGUUGCAUUUCUUCCCUGCUAUAUAGACUCCGAAUUUUAGUCAGCUGAGGAGACAAAUUUGAAACUGAUCUUCCAUUCUCCAUCGCUGCAGCACCUGAAUAAAGCCUUCUUCCCUG